rnacentral:lncRNA from 1 species
ACUUCCUGUAGCGAUGGCUGCGGCGGUGGCCGGGAUCCUCCGUGGAGGUCUCCCGCCCCGGGCGGGUAAGGAGUGGCCCAGGGCCUCCCUGCACGCAGGAUGGCGCUCUCUAGCCCUCGCCACCCUCCUUUCCUUCUGACCUUUCCCGUAAUCUCUGACCGUCGACAGCUCUAGGAGACCCUGCCACUAGCCGGAUCUCUGAUUUGACUGGGUCAUUACCUGCCGGUGACAUCCCUUCCACAGCCCCUCCCCCCAAGCCGGGAAUCACAGGACCUCGCUUUGGAUUUUUCUAACCCUUCGCUCAGUUCUUACUCCUGGUCCCGGAGAGUCCUUUCCAGAAAAUUUAUGUAUUCCUUCUUAAGGUCUUAGCCCAAACACAGAUUCAAGUCUUCUCUCAACUACCCUCUCUCCAUAAAGAGCAGGUUCUUUGGUGAAAUUUACUUUUAUCAAUUCAGUCUAGUUUUGUUUAUGCACGUGUCUCGUCUGAUCUGUUAAACUUCACUGUGUCCAUCUCAGCUGUGGUGUCUGCUGUUAAUAGGCAUCAGGCAUUUAAUGGGUAAAUUUGACACCAUACUGUAGGAUUGUACUCAUUGCUUCAAAGCAAAGGCACCUUGGGAGGAAGGCAUUAUUUUUAUUUUUUAAAGAAGUAUUUACUUUCUGUAAGUGAGUACACUGUUGCUGUCUUCAGACACAUCAGAAGAGGGCAUCAAAUCUCAUUACAGAUGGUUGUGAGCCACCAUGCGGUUGCUGGGAAUUGAACUCGGGACCUCUGGAAGAGCAGUCAGUGCUCUUAACCGCUGAGCCAUCUCUCCAGCCCCAUCUCAUCCCAAAGGCACUCGUAACAGCUCUUGUGGCCCUUAACCAUAAAACCUCUCACCCUGGCAAUCCUCUAUAUUACCUGGAGUCUUCUAGCUGAUCUUUUCCCUACAAAACGACGCUAUUGGUCUUUAUGUUAGGGUUGAAAGAGUCACGUUGGCUCAGAGCUUUGAAGAAUGUCCUUGGGUGCAGAGGGGACCUUCCAAGCUUUUCCUAUUAUCAUCAUUUUGUGCUAUUGGGCACAAAAAGGUCAGAAGGCAGCUUGCGUGCCUCUUUUUCUUUUCUCCAUCAUAGGGGGAUUCCAAGGGUUGUGUUUAGGUUGUCAGAGUUGGUGGGAAGUGCAUUUAUUGCACUGGAUUAGUCGUCUCGCAGGCCUUAGUUUUGCAGUUUGAGUCAGGGUCUCAUUAGUGAGGCUGAUCUUGAACUCGGAUUUCAGGUAUUCACCAUCUGACCUGAAGAAAGACUCCUUUGGGCGAAUUGUGAGGUUGUUGUGUUUUUACCCCCUACUUGCUUCAAGUCAUAGGAGCCUCAGAGCCGUGGGAUGAAGCCAUCAUUAGCACGGGAAGAGUUUAUUAAAAUACAACUUUUUGGACCCCACCACCGAGUUUCAAAUUUUAUAGGUUUAGGGCAGGCAGGAAAGUAUGUGCACUCCCACACAAAGCAGAUGUUGGUGUCUUGAUGGAGGUCUUUGUGCUUCAAGAACUGCUGCUUUGAGUGAGGACUGGCAUGGUUGGUCAUGGUGGUGUUCUUUCAUUUGCUCUGUUUUUCUUGCUUGCUAGGGAUGGAACCUCGGGCUGGGCAGGUAGACCAGUUCUGUACCUCUGAGUUGCAGUCCCAGCCCGGAUGACUGUUUUAUGAAUAGUUUUACUGGAGCACGGUCUCUUUGCUUUACAUAUUGUUUGUGGCUGCACUGGUUUCUGGUUGGUUAGUUGAUUUUUUAUGUCUUAGUACCCCCAGCCAGCCUGAGCCUGGAACUGAGAGAUGCCUCUAUCGCCGAAGCCCUACGAGUGAAGAUGUGCACUGCCAUGCCCAGCUUGUUUCUUCAUUUUAAAGAAUACUAUCCCACAGUGUAGCACUGACUGGCAUAGAACUCAAUGUGUAGACUACUCUGGCCUUAAACGUGGGGCAGCCCUCCUGUUUUCUGAGUGCUAAUUUAUAUGCAUGUUCCACCAUACCUAGGAUAUUAUUAUUACUAAUUUAUUUUGUGUGUUUUGAUUGCACAUAUAAGGUAUAUUACAUUUCUGCCUGGUGCCUGCAAGUGUCAAAAGAGGGCUUUAGCUCCUCUGGAACUGAAGUGACAGACAGGUGGAUGUGAGUCAUCAUGUGGGUGCUGAGAAGUGAACCCAGGUUCUCUGUCAGUCAAAAAGUGCACUUAACCACAGAGCCAUCUCUCCAGCUCCAGCCACGUCCAGGCUUUUAUGGCUGCUUUUAGCAGGGUUGACUGACAAACUAUAUGAACCCCCAAACUUAAAAUAUUUAUUAUUUGGCCAUUUAAGGAAAGCGUUUUCUCAAUCAUCUCCUCAUAUGCUUUGAUUAUUAAUUUAGGCUCUGCUUUGCUUUUUGAGGUGGUCUUGUACCUGGGACUGUUGUCUUACUAAUGGCAAUUCUGCCUUAGCCUCCUGAGUGAAUUACAGUGUGCAUGCUAGUCCUGGUUCUCCAUCUCCCUUGUACUUUUAAAAUACUUCAUCUUGUAAAAAAAAACUUUUAAAAUUCUAGGGCUGUACACAAGGAGGACCUGUGGAGGAGGACUGGAUCUGUGGUCCACUUGGUAAAGUGCUUGCCAGCGCGCAUGGGGCCCUGGAUUUACCCCAGCAGGCUUAAAGCAGGCAUGGUGACAUAGACCUGCAGUCCUAAAGGCAGCACACGGGUGGAGUGGGCAGUGAGUUCAAGCCAGCCUGGGCUGUAUGAGAUCCUGUCUAAAGACAAACAAAAAGCAACAGUAACAAAAACCUAGAGAGAGGAUUGAGCCUCUGCUAAGGUCACCCACUAAGAGGAGAAGAGAAUUUUUUUGUGCCAUGCCUAACUCUGUGAACCGUGCCUUUCUCUGUGGAGGUGGAGGUGUCGGUUGAAGACAAGCGAGGUCCUCCAAGGGGCUGUGUCUUAUGUUGCCAUCUCCCCUUGUAGCUUGGCUGCCCACCCUCCAGACUGUGCGCCAUGGCUCCAAGGCUGUGACCCGCCACUGGCGAGUCAUGCACUUCCAGCGGCAGAAGCUGAUGGCUAUAACUGAGUAUAUUCCUCCCAAACCUGCCAUCAACCCGAGAUGCCUGCCACCUCCUCCCAAGCCCCCCAAGGAGGUAAGGGGCUCAGUGCGUGUUACUUGGUGGUGGGCUCAUGAAGCUGGACUCCAGCCCUGUGGCUACUCAGAUCAACAGUUCACUUUCUGAGAGACAGAGUGUGUGUGAGAAUGUAUGUACACACUUGCCACCGCUCAUGGCAGAGGGCAGCUUUCAGGAUUCAGGUCUCUCCUAAUACCUCGUAAAGUCUCCUGUUUCUGCCAUGCUGCAUGCUCCACACUGGCGCACGGCUUCUGGUGAGUUCUCCUGUCUCACCACAGGAGCUGUGACUACAGAUGUGUGAAAGCACACCAGACUUCCUUACGUGAGUCCAGGGGGUGGAUAUCAGAUUGUCAGGCUCCUACAGCGGGCACUCUGAGUCUCUGAGUCUCACCCACCCUAGAUCCUUUAUAGUAGAAUACACACUUGGUUCUGCGUUGAUGUCACGCUCUGCAUUUUCUGUAGUUUUUUCUUGUCUCCAAAAAAAGCAUCUGGAAGCUUUACAAGUUAGUGGGCGGGAUUCCACUCCUGCUUUUUUUUUUUUUUGAGACAGGGAGUUGUAAGACCUUCUCAAUUCCUUCAUGCUCUUCUCGAUUCCUGGUUUUUCAAGACAGGGUUUCUCUGUAUAGCCCUGGCUGUCCUGGAACUCACUCGAACUCAGAAAUCCACCCGCCUCUGCCUCCCAAGUGCUGGGAUUAAAGGCGUGCACCAUCACGCCCAGCUUUUUCCCGUUUUAAAGGAGCCGAAGCUUCCCCAUUUUCCCUGAGCCGUGGAUGAUAGAAGUUUCUGUCUUUUGAAAGGAACAGGAAGAAGCUAGGUGUGGUGUCACAAGCCUAUAAUAUUAGUGUUUAGGAGGUGGAAGCUGGAGGCAGGGUGAAGCAGUUGUUCAGGGUCAUCCUUGGCUAUAUAGGGAAUUCCGUAUUUGACAAGUUGUUUUGAAGAAAAAACAAAAAACUGGGCAGAGCAGCACACACCUAUAAUUCUAGCACUCAGAAGGCUGAAGCAAGAAGAUUGCUUAUGCGUUCCAGGCUAGACUUGUCUACCUAAUUAGUUCCAGAUCAUCUAGGACUAAAAGGAGACCCUGUCUCAAAAAAUAAAUAAGGCGAGGGCCUGGAGAAAUAGCUCAGCAGUUACUUGUUCUUCCAGAGGACCCAGGUUGGACCUUAAACACCCACAUGUCAGCUCAUGACUAUCUGUAAUGCCCUCUUCUGGCCUUCUAGGUCACCGCAUACAAAGGGUACACACAUGCACGCUAGCAAAUACUCAUACACAUAAUACACUG